AGCGCAGUGGCAAAGUGGUUAGCGCGCCUGCCUGUAACCCAGAGGUAAUGGGUUCAAAUCUCGUCGCUGCUA
rnacentral:tRNA from 1 species